CUUUGUCUCCAAGCUGUGCUGGAGGGAAGACUCUGCCCUGGAGUUUUCGGCUCCGUGCGCUGCAACUCAUAGGAGCUCUGGAUGACCGGGGUGGGCAAGCAGCCCUGGCUGGCGCUGCAUGUACACUUAAUAAAGUAUUGCGUGCAAGAGUGAACGGAGCUUGGACCCCCGUGGGCACAGGGCGCGUCCUCCUUUUUGCACCACGGGAUCAGCAGCAGCGUCCAGGCCUUCUUUCUUCCGUGCGGGCGUGCGGGAUGGGAGCGCAUGCUUUCAGCUACCGUAGAUCAAGAUCACAGAAUGUUCCAGGCAGAGAAUUUGUCUCUUGUGCUCCCUGGAGUCGUGGAGCCCACUUCCUGCAGGUCUCAACUUCAGUGUAGCCCUCUCAGGGCCGCGGAUUUACCUCAGUGGUUUCACCGCCUGCAGCGCAAGCACAAGGACCCAAGUUCGAUCCCCA
rnacentral:lncRNA from 1 species